rnacentral:lncRNA from 1 species
GAGAAAUUUUUGCGAGUAAGAAUAAAUUAUACAUCGUUAGAGGCGUGCGGAAUCGUGUCGAGACUUAGCUGAAACAAGUAAAGUUAUACACGCUGAUAGGAAAUACUGAGGAGGUAUUUUAAAUUGAGUGAAGACCAGGAUGACACAAACAAAAUGAUAAAACUUUAAUUUUCUUCAGUGUCUGAUAAAAAAGCGAAUGGUAUGUGUCAGUAUCUUUUGCAGCAACCGUGCAAGGUGAUUCAUAAAUGUAUGUCCAUACUUCAGGUGAUGAAUCUACACAUUAAAAUAAAUUUUUAAAAAAAGGGCGUAUGAACGUAUGUCCUAUCAUCUAGAAAAUUGUAACGAGCUAGCUAGAAUAGAAUACUGGCUACCUAAAAUUUUAUUUUAUUUAUAUCAAUUGAUAUUGUUUCGCAUAUGUUGCACUCUAACUGAACAGCUUGCAAGUUGGUUACAAUAUAAACUUUGAAUUUACUCACAAGACAACUAACAAAGUUAACUUCGACGAAUAUGUUAUCUGUUUUGCUUUUAUAAUAAACAACAGAUUUACUGGAUGACAACCUUGAUAUUUGUUAGAUUCCCAACGAAUAGAUUUGAUACUUGCUAGAGUGAUAGAUGCUAAAUGUAGCAGUUAGCAUAACAGAUGACGGACCAAACUAUACUGUAGAUAUUGUGGAGUGACGAAUCUCAGGGAGGUUUUUUUCAAGAUUCGCAAAAAUUUGAAGAAUAGGCAAUGCUGUUGGGAGUAACACGUAGGUUGGAGAAUUUUCAAGUUACUCGAACUUAAAGAGGUGGCGGAAAAGGACGAUGAUUGGUUACAGGAAAGUUGGUGAAAAUGAACUCUGUCUACUGGUCAUCCUCAGUUAGCGAUUGACGUGGGUCGACGUGCGUGACGUCCGUGUAAUCAGUUAACGGUUCACAAGUGAUGAAGUCAUAAAGCGUGUGGGUCUCGAAAACAUAUUGAUUUGUAGAAUAUAUUUUCUAUAAAUUUUUAGUCAUCGGGGCCACAGCUGCAGAAGACAAACCCAUUGGAUUUAUAAUCCUAUUAUUGCACAGCAACAGCACACUUGAGACGAAAAUGACUCGACUUGAAAAAGAAUGUUUCCCAGAAGAAAGGCUACUUUUCUACAUAAUUAAAUCAAAUUUAUGAAAAAGAAGAAUAAUGCUUAUAAAACAGUUUUAAAUGUAUUUUUCCCUCAUUUUUAGAUUCUAACCCUGGAAAACUAUCAAACUACUACUAACCAUCAUUGUAAGCAGAACGUAACUUAUAAUGAGACGCAUUUAUAGAAUAACGUCAUCUUUACGAAUACAGUCAUUUUUUCAAUUUUUAUAAAAAAGAGUCAAUGACGAAAAAGGAAUUUGUUAAAACAUUCUGAUUAUGAAUAACUGUUAUAAAUGAUCGAAAUAUUUGUGGUUACUGAUAAUCAUAGGUGAUCAAUCAAUCAAAUUAAAAUCAUUAUAGGUGAGACUAUUUUUUUCUUUCUUUUCUUUCGUUUAUCUACCAUUAUCCAUAACGGAAUGUUUGUUGAAUGACCAUUAUCGAUGACAGGAAAAAAUUCUGUCAUGGAAAAUGAUUAGCGACAACAAGCAACAAAUUCUUUUA